rnacentral:lncRNA from 1 species
GUUGGUUAGUUUGGGCAGGUGGGGCUGUAGGUGGGGGCAAGGCAGGAAGAAGGGCAAUUUUGGUUCGUUUGUCUGGGAGGUUACUUACUGGUUCAGACAAUCUCUUUCUAAGCUGUUGGGGCUGUUGUUUGGCUCGAGCAAAUCGUUGGUGCUUAGCCGAGAUAAGCUCUUUAGCCAUUGGGCAUGUUCAAGCACCUCUACAUAUGAACUGGGUCUCAGCAUCGCAACUUGGUCAUAAAUGC